rnacentral:rRNA from 1 species
UUUUAUUUGAGAGUUUGAUCCUGGCUCAGGAUGAACGCUGGCGGCGUGCCUAACACAUGCAAGUUGAGCGAUUUACUUCGGUAAAGAGCGGCGGACGGGUGAGUAACGCGUGGGUAACCUACCCUGUACACACGGAUAACAUACCGAAAGGUAUGCUAAUACGGGAUAAUAUAUUUGAGAGGCAUCUCUUAAAUAUCAAAGGUGAGCCAGUACAGGAUGGACCCGCGUCUGAUUAGCUAGUUGGUAAGGUAACGGCUUACCAAGGCGACGAUCAGUAGCCGACCUGAGCGGGUGAUCGGCCACAUUGGAACUGAGACACGGUCCAAACUCCUACGGGAGGCAGCAGUGGGGAAUAUUGCACAAUGGGCGAAAGCCUGAUGCAGCAACGCCGCGUGAGUGAUGAAGGCCUUCGGGUC